CCUACUUUGUACAUCAUUGUUUAAUAUUUCGCAAUGGGCGAAAUCCUGACGCAGCGACGCCGCGUGAGGGAUGAAGGUCUUCGGAUCGUAAACCUCUGUCAGCAGGGAAGAACGGUCACUGUGCUAAUCAGCAGUGAAUUGACGGUACCUGCAAAGGAAGCACCGGCUAACUCCGUGCCAGCAGCCGCGGUAAUACGGAGGGUGCGGGCGUUAAUCGGAAUUACUGGGCGUAAAGCGCUCGUAGGCGGUAUGUCAAGUCAAGGGUGAAAUCCCCGCGCUCAACGUGGGAACUGCCUUUGAAACUGGCAAACUGGAGUGUGUGAGAGGAUAGUGGAAUUCCAGGUGUAGGAGUGAAAUCCGUAGAUAUCUGGAGGAACAUCAGUGGCGAAGGCGACUAUCUGGCACAUAACUGACGCUGAGGAGCGAAAGCGUGGGUAGCAAACAGGAUUAGAUACCCCAGUAGUC
rnacentral:rRNA from 1 species